rnacentral:lncRNA from 1 species
CCAUCCUCAGUGUUUUAUAUGCCUGAUAACACUGAAAAUAUUAAUUAUGAUUAUAAAAGCUAUCUGCUAUGUAUUGAGUUUGUUCAAAAUGAGUUAGACCCUUGUUGAGAGAUUUAUCAUGCUCCUAAGAUCAAGACAUUUAUUUAGAAAGAUUCACUCUUCUGAAGUAUUAUUGCAUUAGAGGCAUGGGCUAUGCAAAAAUAAAGAUAUUUCAAGGAAAUAAAAAGGAGCAAGUGCUCGACAACCUCGCGAGAAAAAUAGACAAGUGUCCGGC